rnacentral:snRNA from 1 species
GAAUGUGAGGGUGAUCUGGCUAUCACUUCAGUGAUCUCCAGGGUUGAUUAGGCUAUUUAGUUGGCUAGGUGAGUGUCCCCUUCCUCCCUCUCUGCUCUAUGUGCAUCUCUCCCAAGUUGCAUCGAAGAAAACAAACUUCCCCAAAUAGAGAUGAUCUUUGGUUAAGAAUAUAUGAAUA